ACUAAUUUCCCUGUUCUAUGCUUCCUACUUUCUCAUUUCCGAUGGAGCCACUUUUUAUUUUCAUGUUACGCUCUCACAUCAUUAAAAUUUCAAAUGAAUUGUUCUGUUAAAUUUCUAUGUAUACCUGUGAUAAAUUUCUAUGUAUACCUGUGAUUGUUGAUGAUUCUUCUACACAAUUUAACUUCAGUCAUUUGCAAACAGUUGUUGAAAUAUACUAUCGAACUAUAGCCACUUUA
rnacentral:lncRNA from 1 species